rnacentral:rRNA from 1 species
UACGAAGGGAGCUAGCGUUGUUCGGAAUCACUGGGCGUAAAGCGCACGUAGGCGGCUUUCUAAGUCAGGGGUGAAAUCCUGGAGCUCAACUCCAGAACUGCCUUUGAUACUGGCGACCUUGAGUCCGGGAGAGGUGAGUGGAACUGCGAGUGUAGAGGUGAAAUUCGUAGAUAUUCGCAAGAACACCAGUGGCGAAGGCGGCUCACUGGCCCGGUACUGACGCUGAGGUGCGAAAGCGUGGGGAGCAAACGGG